AACGCUGGCGGCGUGCCUAAUACAUGCAAGUCGAGCGAAUGGAUUGAGAGCUUGCUCUCAAGAAGUUAGCGGCGGACGGGUGAGUAACACGUGGGUAACCUGCCCAUAAGACUGGGAUAACUCCGGGAAACCGGGGCUAAUACCGGAUAACAUUUUGAACUUGCAUGGUUCGAAAUUGAAAGGCGGCUUCGGCUGUCACUUAUGGAUGGACCCGCGUCGCAUUAGCUAGUUGGUGAGGUAACNGGCUCACCAAGGCAACGAUGCCGUAGCCGACCUGAGAGGGUGAUCGGCCACACUUGGGACUGAGACACGGCCCAGACUCCUACGGGAGGCAGCAGUAGGGAAUCUUCCGCAAUGGACGAAAGUCUGACGGAGCAACGCCGCGUGAGUGAUGAAGGCUUUCGGGUCGUAAAACUCUGUUGUUAGGGAAGAACAAGUGCUAGUUGAAUAAGCUGGCACCUUGACGGUACCUAACCAGAAAGCCACGGCUAACUACGUGCCAGCAGCCGCGGUAAUACCGUAGGUGGCAAGCCGUUAUCCGGAAUUAUUGGGCGUAAAGCGCGCGCAGGUGGUUUCUUAAGUCUGAUGUGAAAGCCCACGGCUCAACCGUGGAGGGUCAUUGGAACUGGGAGACUUGAGUGCAGAAGAGAAAGUGGAAUUCCAUGUGUAGCGGAGAAAUGCGUAGAGAUUUUGGAGGAACACCAGUGGCGAAGGCGACUUUUUAGGUCUGUAACUUGACACUUGAGGCGCGAAAGGUGGGGGAGCAAACAGGAUUAGAUACCCUGGGUAGUCCCCCGCCGUAAACGAUGAGUG
rnacentral:rRNA from 1 species